rnacentral:rRNA from 1 species
GACGAACGCUGGCGGCGUGCUUAACACAUGCAAGUCGAACGGAAAGGCCCUGCUUUUGUGGGGUGCUCGAGUGGCGAACGGGUGAGUAACACGUGAGUAACCUGCCCUUGACUUUGGGAUAAUUUCAGGAAACUGGGGCUAAUACCGGAUAGGAGCUCCUGCUGCAUGGUGGGGGUUGGAAAGUUUCGGCGGUUGGGGAUGGACUCGCGGCUUAUCAGCUUGUUGGUGGGGUAGUGGCUUACCAAGGCUUUGACGGGUAGCCGGCCUGAGAGGGUGACCGGCCACAUUGGGACUGAGAUACGGCCCAGACUCCUACGGGAGGCAGCAGUGGGGAAUAUUGCACAAUGGGCGGAAGCCUGAUGCAGCAACGCCGCGUGCGGGAUGGCGGCCUUCGGGUUGUAAACCGCUUUCGCCUGUGACGAAGCGUGAGUGACGGUAAUGGGUAAAGAAGCACCGGCUAACUACGUG